rnacentral:lncRNA from 1 species
AAACCCUUGAGUGAACCUCCAGAAUUACUCGCAGUUGAAAUCACCACAAGCAGAGUCACUCAGUGAAAGCAUUUAGCACUAUGUAAGUAUAUACUGUUAUAUGGGUUACUUUUACUUCUGUUAAUACUGCUGGUAAAAUACUUGUUACUCUAUGUUUUGUUUUAGAUAGAAAUUCAUUGUUGCUGAGUUUAACAACUCCUGAAGAAGGGGUUUUCCCCUGAAACAGGGUCAAAAAUACCCGGGACCCCUGUAGAGAAUUGGGACUUUAUUUGUACUUUACUUUUGAAGACUUUUUUGAGAGCGGUGCUCCAUCUUUAUUUUCUUCAAUCAAAUAUACAGCAACAAAAUAUCUGGGGACCCACAAGUCGAGAACCACUGCUCUAUGUCUAUCUAUCCUGAGCCCUCUCUGAUGUAAACUGAUACUCUUAGCGAUAUUUCUCCACUUCUUCUUCUCAUGAGCCCUCUCUUGAUCUUCUAAGAUAGAGCUAUCUUAAAUCAGUACCUUGAGUUAUUAUUCUGUCUUAGAAUGGUGCUCCUAUAAUAAAGCUUAGUUUAUUUCUAUGAGUCACUGAGGUGUUUGCUCCUUAAUCACAAUCUCUCUAACUGUUGCAUGUAUUAUGCGAACUUUUCAUAGUACAGGGGAGGCAAAUAGUCUUGCAAUUCACUUUGCUUUUAUAACUUCCUUUUGUAGACUUUAACUCUCAGAAAGAUACAUAAAAUGUUACCCUCAUCUUCCUUUAAAUAUGCACAUGAAUAGGAUGCGGUUUCUAAACAGUGUGAUCAACUGGUCAAGGAAUGGAAGACAUGCAAAUGUGUGUAAAAUAAAUAGACUGACCAUUUCAGUGCUAAUCAGGAGCUGCACAUUUAAAGAAUACCACUGGAGCACAUCCAAGCCAAGGUGGAUGACAAAAUACACUCAGCACCCAGCUUUUGUUAAGAUACUGAUGCUGUACUUUGGAGCUUGUGAAGGAGGAGGAGUAAAGGAGUGCACAAACUUCAAACAGUCUAAAAAUAAAACUUCACAAAACAGCAUGACAUGUUGGAGCAAGCACUUGAAUGAGAAAUGGAAUGUGGCUGAGCAAGAGAAAGGGGGUGCGCUAGUCUCGUCACAAGGUGGGGCCCAGAGGAUGCCAGGGUAUUAUGAAGGGAUUAUUCUAAGGUGGAGUCAUGCCCUGAAGUCUAAGAUUUCACAUCUAAUGACCUUAUCACAUGGAGGAACCCUCACCCAAUGCCGUUUUGUCAGCAAAUGUAGCGAAACGGCAGACGUAAGGAGUGACUCCAGUACAGCGACACUUCCUCCAUCACACGUAUAUGGAGGGCUGACUACACUCAAGGCUCUGUCCAAAAAUGAAAAAUGGGAAGGACUGGGACACAGGAAAGUCAGUGAGUGUUAGCCAGAUAUUUAUCAGGUAGAGAUUUUGAGUGGUGGGUGAGGUAACACAGUCCUGAAUGCCAGAAAUAGAUGGAACGAAGUGGCCUGUCAUUUCUGUACUUCCUGUUAAUUUCCUUUUAAAGCAUCUUCUGCUGGCUGCCAAUGAACGAAGGAUGCCUUUAGGUUUGGCCUACAUCGGCAGCCUGAGUUAUUUCAGAAUUUCCUCUGUCCAAGGUUAAAGUCCAGAACUUAUGGAUAACCUUUAUUUCCUGUGACCCUUAAAGAGAAGGUUCUGCCUGAUGAGAACAGUUUCAUAGUCCUCUUAAGACCUGGUAACUGAUUAAACUGCUUGUUUGUUCAGCUCUGGUUUGUAGGGUUACUAAGUUACAUCGGGACUUUGAGAUUCCCCUACUAAAAUGAGAUAUGAAGUGCCCCCAGUUUCUACAUCCUAUCUCCUUCUGUCUUUCUCUAGGACAGUGUUUCUCAAUUUUCUUAAUGCCGUGACCCCUUAAUACAGUUCCUCAUGUUGUGGUGACCCUCAACCAUAACGUUAUUUUCGUUGCUACUUUAUAACUGUAAUUUUGCUACUGUUAUGAAUCGUAAUACAGUAGAGUCUCACUUAUCCAAGCCUCGCUUAUCCAAGCCUCUGGAUAAUCCAAGCCAUUUUUCUAGUCAAUGUUUUCAAUAUAUAGUGAUAUUUUGGUGCUAAAGUCGUAAAUAAAGUAAUUACAGCAUAGCAUUACUGCGUAUUAAACUACUUUUUCUGUCAAAUUUGUUGUAUAACAUGAUGCUUUGGUGCUUAAUUUGUAAAAUCAUAACCUAAUUUGAUGUUUAAUAGGCUUUUCCUUAAUCCCUCCUUAUUAUCCAAGAUAUUCGCUUAUCCAAGCUUCUGCUGGCCCGUUUAGCUUGGAUAAGUGAGACUCUACUGUAUAAAUGUCUGAGAGAGUGUGUCCAUCCCUCAAAUGUUGUUGUGCUGCCAGUUCUCAUCAUCCCUCACCCUUGGCUGUGCUACUUUGGUCUGAUGAGGAGUUGGGGUUCCAACAUUUUCCAGAAGGGUGUGUUACUCCUGGGAA